rnacentral:rRNA from 1 species
UUCGACCUCCGGGUCGGCAGCGGCGGGAAUACGUAGGUCCCGAGGGGUUUCCUGAUUUAUUGGGCGUAAAGCGAGCGCAGGCGGUUUGCUUAGUCUGAAGUUAAAGGCUGUGGCUCAACCAUAGUUCGCUUUGGAAACUGUCAAACUUGAGUGCAGAAGGGGAGAGUGGAAUUCCAUGUGUAGCGGUGAAAUGCGUAGAUAUAUGGAGGAACACCGGUGGCGAAAGCGGCUCUCUGGUCUGUAACUGACGCUGAGGCUCGAAAGCGUGGGGAGCGAACAGGAUUAGAUACCCUGGUAGUC